UACGUAGGGUGCAAGCGUUGUCCGGAAUUAUUGGGCGUAAAGAGCUCGUAGGCGGUCUGUCGCGUCUGCUGUGAAAACUCAGGGCUUAACCCUGAGCUUGCAGUGGGUACGAGCAGACUAGAGUGCAGUAGGGGAGACUGGAAUUCCUGGUGUAGCGGUGAAAUGCGCAGAUAUCAGGAGGAACACCGGUGGCGAAGGCGGGUCUCUGGGCCGUAACUGACGCUGAGGAGCGAAAGCAUGGGGAGCGAACAGG
rnacentral:rRNA from 1 species